rnacentral:rRNA from 1 species
UACAGAGGGUGCGAGCGUUGUUCGGAAUUAUUGGGCGUAAAGGGCGCGUAGGUGGUUUGAUAAGGGUGUGGUGAAAAGUCCGGGGCUCAACCCGGAUCUGCCGUGCCGACUGUCAAACUCGAGGACUGUAGAGGCAGACGGAAUUCCGGGUGUAGCGGUGGAAUGCGUAGAGAUCCGGAGGAAGACCGGUGGCGAAGGCGGUCUG